GGUUCAACGGGAUAUUGGUCCGGUUCAAUAAGAAAGCAAGGCUUAAAAUGUUGAGUCUUGGUUUUUGAUUGAGCCGUGCCAAUAUCACGUCCUCUCCG
rnacentral:pre_miRNA from 1 species